rnacentral:lncRNA from 1 species
AAAAAUAACGUGAUUGAUGAAACAUAUGGAAUUUUUGUUAAAACUUCACCAUCAUGCUCUGUUAUGACAAAUUCUGGUUACGCUAUAUAUUGUGAAACAAUGCUUAUAUUUACUAACGUAGGGUUUUAUAUGGCCUAACAAAAGUGUUAGUAGGAGUCGAGAUGUACCCAAAUAAUUGGAAAGUGCUCGAGUGAAAGUGCUUGACAUGUGGCUGUCGUGUCGCACAUGCUUGGUUUCAUGGUGGUUUGAAAAAAAAAUGCUGCAACCAAGCUCAAAUAAUGGAAAGAGUUUCUCCAUCUUUUCUGUCAAAAGGCAAGGUACUUAUAAUUGAAGGGCAUACAGCAUGAGGCUGUAUUUUCAUUGGAGUAAUUUUUAGUUUAAUAUUAUCCUGAAUAAGAAUUACAAGAAUAAAGAAUAUACAUGAUGUAUCAGGUUUUUAAGAAAACAAUUCAUUUAUAGUUAUGGUUUAAGGUUUAGGGUUUAGGGCAUUGUGAUCAACAGUCUCAGGACGUUGGUUUUUCUGAUCUUGUUCUUGUAUUUACUAUUUCCAUCACAGCACUCGGUACUCGUCUAUUAUUUUCUUAUUUUAGAUUAACUGUAAAAAAAAAAAAAAAAAAAAUCAAAUGACAAAAGCAGAGAGAAAUAUAACACGAGAGCGAAAAUUACUGACUAAUAUAGCAUAUCAAACACGUUGAUAUAAUAAAUCUCAAUAGAAAGUAUGACACAUGACCAAAAUACAAGCUAAAUUAUUUAUUUUCAAAUUGUAUACAGAAUAGUUAAUUUAUAGAAUGCAUGGAUAACAGAGAAACAAAAUAAACAAGAAAACAUAUAAUGCAUGAAUAACUUUUCAAUUAACUUGUAACUAAUUCACGAAAAAUAUUUGUCCAAACACGAUAUAGAAGGCAAACUUCAACUUAGUCGAGCUGGUUAAAGCACUAAGUUAUAAAUUUCCUCACCCGACUUUGAAUUAAAUUAAUUUAGUAUAAACUACCACUUUUAUCUCUAUACAAAAGAAUGCAUUAACCAUCAAAAUACAAAUAAUCCUCCAAAUUAAUCAAGACUUUUAAAUCUUUCGUUCUUUCAUUUUAACUAGUAGUUUCAAAUGUGAAUGUGAUCGCGUUUAGUUUGAAAAUGUCCAAAAAGGAGGGAAUAACUUAAUCAAAAUCUCUUUUUUAAACCUUGAAUAAUUGUAAUAAAUUAAAGGAGAAAUUAGGUUCAUACCUUUCUUUUUGCUAGUACAUUGAUUAAAAUCCUAUUCAUUUUCAAUUUUUGAUCAAGGUCCUUGGAUAUUAAUAACAUCAUUAAUUAUUUGAAUAAUAAAAUAUUUUUAUUUUUAAAUAUAUUCUUUUAGCGUUAAAAAUGUUACAAUUACUAUAUUUAUAUUUAUGGCUAAAUUUUUUAUCAUAUAUUUUUAUUUUUAGUUUGUACCAAUUUUUUUUUUCAUUUUUAAUUUGUACCCAUAUAUUAGUUUCUUUUUGUGCCCAUAUUUUUUAAAGUUUUAUUUGU